rnacentral:rRNA from 1 species
GAUGAACGCUGGCGGCGUGCUUAACACAUGCAAGUCGAACGGAAAGGCCGAAGCUUGCUUCGGUACUCGAGUGGCGAACGGGUGAGUAACACGUGGGUGAUCUGCCCUGUACUUCGGGAUAAGCUUGGGAAACUGGGUCUAAUACCGGAUAUGACGAUCUCUUGGAUGGGGUUGUGGAAAGCUUUUGCGGUAUGGGAUGAGCUCGCGGCCUAUCAGCUUGUUGGUGGGGUAAUGGCCUACCAAGGCGUCGACGGGUAGCCGGCCUGAGAGGGUGUACGGCCAAAUUGGGACUGAGAUACGGCCCAGACUCCUACGGGAGGCAGCAGUGGGGAAUAUUGCACAAUGGGCGCAAGCCUGAUGCAGCGACGCCGCGUGGGGGAUGACGGCCUUCGGGUUGUAAACUCCUUUCGCAAUCGACGAAGCCUUUUGGUGACGGUAGGUUGAGAAGAAGCACCGGCUAACUACGUG